GAUGAACGCUAGCGGCAGGCUUAACACAUGCAAGUCGAGGGGUAGGUUACUUCGGUAAUUGAGACCGGCGCACGGGUGCGUAACGCGUAUACAAUCUACCUUUUACAGAGGGAUAGCCCAGAGAAAUUUGGAUUAAUACCUCAUAGUAUUUUUGAAUCGCAUGAUUUGAUUAUUAAAGUUCCAACGGUAAAAGAUGAGUAUGCGUCCCAUUAGCUAGAUGGUAAGGUAACGGCUUACCAUGGCUACGAUGGGUAGGGGUCCUGAGAGGGAGAUCCCCCACACUGGUACUGAGACGCGGACCAGACUCCUACGGGAGGCAGCAGUGAGGAAUAUUGGACAAUGGGCGCAAGCCUGAUCCAGCCAUGCCGCGUGCAGGAAGAAGGUCCUAUGGAUUGUAAACUGCUUUAUACAGGAAGAAACACUCGGACGUGUCCGAACUUGACGGUACUGUAUGAAUAAGCAUCGGCUAACUCCGUGCCAGCAGCCGCGGUAAAGUCAAG
rnacentral:rRNA from 1 species